GCCGAUGUGGCUCAGAGGCAGAGCAGCUGUUUCGUAAACAGCGGGUCAGCGGUUCGAUUCCGCUCAUCGGCU
rnacentral:tRNA from 1 species